rnacentral:rRNA from 1 species
AGCGAACGCUGGCGGCAGGCUUAACACAUGCAGGUCGAACGGGCACCUUCGGGUGUCAGUGGCAGACGGGUGAGUAACACGUGGGAACGUGCCCUUCGGUUCGGAAUAACUCAGGGAAACUUGAGCUAAUACCGGAUACGCCCUUUUGGGGAAAGGUUGACUGCCGAAGGAUCGGCCCGCGUCUGAUUAGCUAGUUGGUGGGGUAAUGGCCCACCAAGGCGACGAUCAGUAGCUGGUCUGAGAGGAUGAUCAGCCACACUGGGACUGAGACACGGCCCAGACUCCUACGGGAGGCAGCAGUGGGGAAUAUUGGACAAUGGGCGCAAGCCUGAUCCAGCCAUGCCGCGUGAGUGAUGAAGGCCUUAGGGUUGUAAAGCUCUUUCGUCCGGGACGAUAAUGACGGUACCGGAAGAAGAAGCCCCGGCUAACUUCGUGCCAGCCGCCGCCGUAAAAC